GUUCCUGGGAGCGCGCACGUCCGAACCCGCGCGAACUGCGGGAGCUGUGGCCGCGCACGUCGGCCAGUUUUGGAUACGUGGCCGCAGGCCGCCAAGGUCCUGCCAAGCCGGGCCAUGUGGAAGCUGCUCCCCGCCGCUGGCGCGCCUCGAGAACCGUGUAGACUGUUGACUGAUGUUGAGUAUGUUGUUGGAAGGAAAAACUGUGCCAUUCUAAUUGACAACGAUCAGUCCAUCAGUCGAAAUCAUGCUGUGUUAACAGCUAACAUUUCUGUAACUAACUUGCAGCAAACGCAUGAAAUUCCUACUUUGACAAUAAAAGAUAAUUCUAAGUAUGGUACCUUUGUUAAUGAGGAAAAAAUGCAGAAUGGCCUUUCUCGAACUUUGAAGACAGGGGAUAGAGUUACCUUUGGAGUGUUUGAAAGUAAAUUCAGAGUAGAAUAUGAGCCUUUGGUUGCAUGCUCCUCUUGUUUAGAUGUCUCUGGGAAAACUGCUUUAAAUCAAGCUAUAUUACAGCUUGGAGGACUUACAGUAAACAACUGGACAGAAGAAUGUACUCACCUUGUUAUGGUAUCAAUUAAAGUUACCAUUAAAACAAUAUGUGCACUUAUUUGUGGAUGUCCAAUUGUAAAGCCAGAAUACUUUACUGAAUUUGUUAAAGCAAUUGAGUCCAAGCAACAGCUGCCACAAGUUGAAAGUUUUUACCCACCUGUUGAUGAACCGGCUAUUAAUGGUAAAACUAUUGAUCUGUCAGGACGACAGGAAAGAAAACAAAUCUUCAAAGGAAAAACAUUUAUAUUUUUAAAUGCUAAACAGCAUAAGAAAUUAAGCUCAGCAGUUGUUUUUGGAGGUGGAGAAGCUAGAUUGAUAACAGAAGAAAAUGAAGAAAAAGACAGUUUUUUUUCAGCUCCUGGGAUGUGUGUUGUUGAUACAGGCAUAACAGAUACACAGAUCUUAAUUCCUGACUCGCAGAAAAAAUGGAUUCACUCAAUUGUGGAUACACUCCAGAGGCAGGGUCUUAGACCUAUUCCUGAAGCAGAAAUUGGAUUGGCAGUUAUUUUCAUGACUACAGAGAAUUACUGUAAUCCCCAGGGCCAGCCCCACACAGGAUUAAAGACAAGGACUCCAGAGCCAAGCCUUUCAGUAGGCUGGCCAGUCAGUGAAAAACUACAGCCCAUUGCUCCUGUGAACACUACAACAUAUGUAGCUGACUCAGAAUCGGACCAGGCAGAUACAUGUAUGUAUUCCAGUGAAAAGUUAAAAGAAAUAAAAAUCUCCAAAAUGGAACAAAAAUUUGGAACAUUUUCACAAGAUACAUCCAAUAUAAAAGACUCUCCCAAACCAAGCUCUAGUAGUAACAUAAAAUCAAAUUCUCUAGUUAGGGUAAAAAUCCAAAACUAUGAGCUUUCACCAGCUAAAUUCCCAAGUGUGACUAAAAGUAGAGGUCAAGCUUCUCAACAGCAGCAAUCAAAUACCAUUAGAAACUACUUUCAACCAUCUCCCAAAAAAAGAGAAAGGGAUGAAGAAAAUCAAGAAAUGUCUUCAUCCAAAGCAGCAAGAUUAGAAAUGUCUUGUUCUCUUUUAGAGCAAACACAACCUUCUAUAACCUCACAAUGGAAAAACAAAGAACAAAAUCUAUCUCACAGUGAACCUAUGGACACAAAAUCAGAAAACUUAUUUUCAGAUGAUAUAGAUUUAAAAUCCAAUGUGAAAAACUCUACCAGUAAAUCUGUUUCUACAGAAAACUUGAGAUCAAAGAAAAGAAAAGAAACUGAUGUGGCCAUAGAAGAUAAACAGUUGGAGCAGUUAUUCAAGAACCCAAGAUCAGAGUUGGAAAUUAAAGUGAAAGUUGAAAAACAAGAGGAAGACGUCAAUGUCAGAAAAAAAUCAAGGGUGGAUACAGAAACAAAUAAAAAUUUUGAUGAUGAAAUAAUGCCAGAAAGUGACAAAACAUCUCAAGAAGGUGAAGUUGAGAAGAAAUGUGACCUCAAAGAAUUACAGUGGUCAACUAAAGAAAUACCUAACAAUGAUGAACUUCAGGACAGCAGUGAGAUGCUUCCAACAAAGGUGUUAAUGACUGAAUUUAGAUCACUGGUGGUUAAUAACCCCAGUCACAGAAAUCUGUAUGGAGUAAGUAAUGAUCAUGGUCAUCAACUAAAGAAUUUCAAGAAAUUCAAAAAGGUCGCAUUUCCUGGAGCAGGUAAACUCCCACACAUUAUUGGAGGAUCAGAUCUCAUAGCUUAUCAUGCUGGAAAGAAUGCAGAAUUAGAAGAAUGGUUGAGACAGGAAAUGGAGGUGCAGUUCUUGCCAUUUCAAGAAACUUUUCCAUUAUAUAUUUUAAACCCUUUCUUGAGAAAUCCACUUUCUUGAGUCUCUACAUUUAAGGUACAAAAGCAACAUGCAAAGGAAGAGUCUCUUGCUGAUGAUCUCUUUAGAUAUAAUCCUAAUGUAAAAAGGAGAAGAUAAUUAAGAACUUUAAAAAAAAAGCACAAAAACCAACUUCCCAGCAAACAUUUACUUCAGGCUGAGAUACAUGAACACAGAGUAUGAAAGUUUUUACAACCAAAUUUGUUAAAUAAAAUGCACGAAACUCUG